rnacentral:miRNA from 1 species
CAGGAUACCCAGUUCAAUUCAAAUUUCAGGUAAAGAACAAAUAAAAACUUCAGUAUAAGGAUAUUCCAUGCAACCUUUGGGACAUACUGAUACUAAAAAUGAUCUGGAUACUUAAAAUUUCAAAUUCAAAUUUCCUUGGGUGUCUUGU